rnacentral:rRNA from 1 species
AGAUUGAACGCUGGCGGCAUGCCUAACACAUGCAAGUCGAACGGGAGUAGCAAUACUCUAGUGGCGGACGGGUGAGGAAUACGUAGGAAUUUGCCCUUAAGUGGGGGAUAACCCGGGGAAACCCGGAUUAAUACCGCAUGACCUCGAAAGAGCAAAGUGGGGGAUCGCAAGACCUCACGCUUUUGGAGAAGCCUACGUCGGAUUAGCUAGUUGGUGAGGUAAUGGCUCACCAAGGCGACGAUCCGUAACUGGUCUGAGAGGAUGAUCAGUCACACCGGAACUGAGACACGGUCCGGACUCCUACGGGAGGCAGCGAGUGGGGAAUAUUGGACAAGUGGGCGCAAGCCUGAUCCAGCAAUGCCGCGUGUGUGAAGAAGGCCUUCGGGUUGUAAAGGCUAACGUUUAAGUUAGGAAAGAAAAACUCGACUACUAACAC